rnacentral:rRNA from 1 species
CCUACGGGGGGCAGCAGUGAGGAAUAUUGGUCAAUGAACGAGAGUCUGAACCAGCCAAGUAGCGUGAAGGAUGACUGCCCUAUGGGUUGUAAACUUCUUUUAUAUGGGAAUAAAAUGUUCCACGUGUGGGAUUUUGUAUGUACCAUAUGAAUAAGGAUCGGCUAACUCCGUGCCAGCAGCCGCGGUAAUACGGAGGAUCCGAGCGUUAUCCGGAUUUAUUGGGUUUAAAGGGAGCGUAGGUGGAUUGUUAAGUCAGUUGUGAAAGUUUGCGGCUCAACCGUAAAAUUGCAGUUGAAACUGGCAGUCUUGAGUACAGUAGAGGUGAGCGGAAUUCGUGGUGUAGCGGUGAAAUGCUUAGAUAUCACGAAGAACUCCGAUUGCGAAGGCAGUUCACUGGACUGCAACUGACACUGAGGCUCGAAAGUGUGGGUAUCAAACAGGAUUAGAAACCCCAGUAGUC